rnacentral:rRNA from 1 species
GGUUCAUUCAAAUUUCUGCCCUAUCAACUUUCGACUUUAGUGUAGUGGACUAACAUGGUUACAACGGGUAACGGAGGGUAAGGGCUCGACCCCGGAGAAGGAGCCUGAGAAACGGCUACUACAUCCAAGGAAGGCAGCAGGCGCGCAAAUUACCCAAUCCCGACCGGGGAGGUAGUGACAAUAAAUACUGAUACAGGGCUCUUUUGGGUCUUGUAAUCGGAAUGAGUACAAUUUAAAUCCCUUAACGAGGAACAAUUGGAGGGCAAGUCUGGUGCCAGCAGCCGCGGUAAUUCCAGCUCCAAUAGCGUAUAUUAAAGUUGUUGCAGUUACAAAGCUCGUAGUUG